rnacentral:rRNA from 1 species
AGAGUUUGAUCCUGGCUCAGAAACGAACGCUGGCGGGCAGGCUUAACACAUGCAAGUCGCAGGGGAAGCAGCCCUUCGGGGUUGUGGAGACUGGCGCACGGGUGAGUAACGCGUGGGAAUCUGCCUUGGGGUGGGGGAUAACCGCUGGAAACGGCGGCUAAUACCGCAUACGCCUUAAGAGGGAAAGCUUUCGAGCGCCCUGGGAGGAGCCCGCGUCCGAUUAGCUUGUUGGUGGGGUAAAGGCCUACCAAGGCUACGAUCGGUAGCUGGUCUGAGAGGAUGAUCAGCCACACUGGGACUGAGACACGGCCCAGACUCCUACGGGAGGCAGCAGUGGGGAAUAUUGGACAAUGGGCGCAAGCCUGAUCCAGCCAUGCCGCGUGAGUGAAGAAGGCCUUAGGGUUGUAAAGCUCUUUCACCCGUGAAGAUGAUGACGGUAGCGGAGAAGAAGCCCCGCUAACU